CUGUUAGGCAGGUACGAAUGUUGGUUAUGUGGCUCGACUCGCACGCAACCUAUGCACGUACGCAACUAUAGCCUAUGCAGCAUAUCAAUUUCUAAUAUUUUGAAUGCUUUGUUUUAAGACCUGAACAUGAGGUUAUUGCACUGCAAUUCAAACGGAUUUUGUUCAGAGUUUUACAAUCGAAAGUUUGGAUUAGCCUUCUUCCACAGUUUUUUACAUUGAGAUUAUAAUCGUAGGAGAGGGUGUCGGGAUGCGCUUUUCGCCAGGUCUGCCAUGUUUUUGUGCUCUGUCUCCUAUCUGGAGCUAAACUUUUUAAGAAAGCAAUGCACUCAUUUUAUGCUACAUAGUUUGUACUACAUAUUUCUGUUUGGUUGUCCAAGUAGUAUAUUGAGCCUUAAGUAGCACCACAAGAUAAUUGUCAUUACCCUCUAGCAAUUGAAAUGGUUUUGUUUUACUCGCGUUGUUUCUUUAUAUAUUUUCUAAUGAUUUAACAUGACCUUUUUCCUCUGUAUUGUCAUCAUAAUUUCUAUUUCAUAUUUUAUUCCUGCAAUUUAUGUUAUCUUCACUUAGGACACUUCCUUAUGCAUAUGGUCAACGAAAUGUUCCUUCAGAGGUCAUCAGACCCUUGGGGCGCUAUUUGUUGUGUUUUUUUUGCUCUUAGGCCAUGUCGAUCCUAUUUUCAUUCCCCUGCUAUGUGCUAUGAAAAUAUGUGUUCGGGCCUCACGCCAUUUUUCUCUUAGUGAGCUGUUGCAUCUUCUAUUUUGCUGCUUCGUUCCUAUUUGCUACUUCGGUGCUUUUUCCCUAGCCAAAGCCAGGGAUUUACUUUGUAGCUGAACUUAAGUUCAUCAAAUAACGAGGCCAUUAUACAUUUUAAUUUACACUACGGUCAUAGUGAUGUUAAACUCAUGUCUUCCAAAGGACGGGCCGUUGACCUUGAGAUGAUUUCAGUUUUUUUAUUGCAAGUUCAGAUAUAUAUUUUUUUGCAAUGAUUUUCUUUUAAAGAAUUAAUUAGAAAAUUAUUUGCUUAUUUUAUUUUCAGUAGUGUUUACAACUUCAUACUUAUAUUGCUGUUGCUAUUUUUUUUACGCAGAGCAUCGGCCUGAAAAUUAGGCCUUUAUCUCCCAUCUACUCUUAGAUAGAGAUAGAGAAAGACCAUUCGCAGAGUUGCACUUACCUUUUUAUGAUGCCCAAAUUUAUGCUUAGAAAGGUAACACUUUUUUAUUGGGUGGUAUUAGUAUAUAAUGUAACCGAAUGGUCCUUCUCUAUCUAAGCUUUGAUGUGCUUUUUCAAACUUGGCGAGUACAUUAGAAAAGGAAAUAUCUACUAGGGUUAUUUCAGUUAAAAUGGUUACAGAGAAUAAGAGAAAGUAUAUAUUACAUAUGCCUAUAUAUUUUCUUAUUUCUUUUUAGAACCGUUGACUAGAAAGUGGAUAUGUUCACUGCUUAUUUCUCUAGACAUUUGAGUUCACUUUAUCAUUUGGUUGGUCUACGUGGUACUCAGAACUUAAGCCUAUCUACCAUGAAUAUGUUUCUUGAUG